rnacentral:tRNA from 1 species
GCCCUGGUGGCACAACAGUUAAGCACUUGGCUGCUAACUGAAAGGCCGGUGGUUCAAAUCCACCCAGUGGCU